rnacentral:lncRNA from 1 species
UAGAAGUUCCAAAUGUACAAAUAAAAGAAUUAUCAUAUUUCGCCCCAAAAUUUCACCCGUUUCACCUAUGCACUGGCUUCUUCUUUCAAGCACUGAUAAUUGACAUAAUAGCUCUCUGUUAUUUGGAUCCUGAACACAACAAUACAAAUAUAUGCAUCACAGUUUCUGGACUAAAUUGAUAACUAAUGAAACUUGUAACUAAAAUCCAAGAAGCAACAUAUAAAAUGACCUGUUCAAGGCAAAAUUUGGAGCAACUUAUCCAUGCAUUCUGUUACCAGAAAAUAAAUCAAUACAGUCAAGAAAAUAAACGUAUAAUAAUAAAAAAAAUAUAUGAAUGUUUCUUUACUCACAACAUCGGUUGAAUUGUGCUCUUGCUUAUGAUUAGAACCAGCCUCUAGAACCAUAAAGUUUCUCAAAGAGAAAGACGACAUUGCUAAAAACCAAGUAGGAAAAAAAGAGAAAGAAAAACUAGAAAAAUGAUGCUAAAAAAAGAACAACAGAACACAAAAUAGAAAGAAAAAAAAUGUAAACUUAAACAAAAAAUAAUCCAAAGUACAAGAAAAUUAUAAUGAAAAUUAAAGAAAAAAAGACGAAAAUGGCUAUAUUGACAAC